AUUCAUGUAGUUAUGCCUUCAGAAUCUCCAAAUGCAAAGAACUAAUUUUGAGUCAGCCCCAGACCACAGAACUGACAUUUUAUUUCUUAUUCCAUUUAUGUCUCUACAAUAGAUGUAAUUUUUAGACACAAGUUCAUUCGGAAGCUAAUAAAUAUAUUGUAUGAAAAGAUAUCGCAGCUCUCCAGCCCCCUACUGAAGGAGUGGCUCAGAAGUCAGAAACCCCAGUCUCUAGAAAGGCAGAUGACUCACUGACACUGCUCUUUCUCAGUGUCAGAGUUCAUCACACUUUUCCCCAGUAGCCAGGCUCCCUUUCCUGACUCUGUAGCUGCAGGGUUCCACAGAGCGGGUUUCUUCUAUGCUAAACAAAUGACUUUUUUUUUUAGACUUAUUUCCCACUUACUAAUACUCUCUGGGCUUCCAGUAAAAUUUAAGUUUGCCAAAUAUCCCCAAGGAGUCAAAGACCUAAUUUUAGAGAAGAUGGAAAGUGCAUCCUCAAAGCAACUGGGAGUACCCAUCCUUAACGGUAAGAAUGACAAAGGGGGGAGGCAGCAGCGGCCCAUUUCCUCCAUCUCACAGAGCAGCAUCUUUAUGAAAAGUGAGCUCAGCUGUUAACAGUCCGGGGAGGGACCGCUAUCUACCACAUCACAGGCGGCAGAGAAGAACAGGAUGUUAUGAGUACAGUGUGAACCUCGGAGCUAGAGUCAAAACCAUAGUUGGCGCUUCCCAGGCGUGUGUUUACCUUGUUUUCUUCAAAGUUUAAAAGAGAACUCUUCUGUUAUAUAAAGUGUAAGCAAACCCUACCCGAGGGGGGAGCAGCGCAGAACCGAUAAACUUCCUCAUUUUCAUUAAUAAAAAGAAUGCCCACUCCUGGUUUAUAACAACCUAUCACCAAAGUGGCCUGUAGCCCCUCGCUGAUUCUUAAAGGAUUCAGGCUCUAUCUCCAGCUCUGCUUCUUUGUAGCCCAAGUGAGCCUCAGAGCAGUUGAAGGCAUCAGGUCAAUUCGAGUUCCCCAGAUUCUUCAACUGUCAAAUGAAGACGGUUGGGAUUUUUCUGUUAAACAUUGUCUGGCCCUCAGAAAGCAAAACAAAAUAACAGGGCGGUACUGACAAGGAAACUGACAAACUGACGGAGAGGAGAGUUUAACCCUUGAAAUUGGCCUUGUUUAGCAACUUCUCGUUUGUUAUCCCCCGUACAGCCGUUUGUAAGUUACAGUUAAAAAUGAAUUCUCAAGAUGAACAACCCUCCAGCUGUCAGGCCUAACUUUCACCGUCUCACUGCUCAGUUGGCAGUAUGCUGGUUAAGAAUAGAGGGUUUUACACAGAACUGGGUUCGAAUCUUGAUCUUUUGCUACUUGCUGGGGAUCUUAUGCAAGUUACUCCACCUUUCUGAGCUGUUUCUUUUCUUAAAAAGAACUAUUGUAAGAAUUAAGAGAAUGCAUAUAAAGGAUUUACUCCAGGUCUGUUACUUGAGAAGCACUCAGUAAGUGUCACUAUUAUUAAACUUAAACCAGUAUAUUAAUCAGGACCCAACUGGUUGUAAGUGAAACAGACCCCACACAAACUGGGUUAAACAAAAAAAGGAAAUUAUUGCCAUAAAAAAUUGAAAACUCCUCUGGCAAGUUUGGUUCAGGCACAUACGGAUCGGGGUGCUCAAAUGAGGCCCCAAGACUUGAUGCCCCCUCCCCACCCCCGCCUUCUUGAAUCUGCUCUGCUGUGCUGUUUGGCCUUCACUCCUCUGCAGGCUCAGUCCAGAAGAAUUCCAGGCUUACAUUCUCCCAGUAGGAAAACUGUGCUGGAGAAAUCUCUAUCAAGCGCUCCCUCUUUGUAUCUCGUUGAUGGGAUCCAUACGCCCAUCCCUGAACCAAUCGCUGUGACCUGAGAGAAAGAAUGCUCUGAUUGGCCAGGGCUGAGUCACGUGUUCAUUCUGGAGCGGAGGGGUGCUGCCCUCCUCGCUGAAGCCAGAGCAACUGAGUGGGAGAAGGGGGAAGGAAGACACUUGCUGGGAAAUAGAAGAUAUGCAAACUUCACCUUCAAAUUGAGAGAGCAAGGCCUGCAAGGGUGAAAGGAGUUGUCCCAGCUGCCUCCUAAGGGGAAAGAAAUUGGAAUGUCGCACCCAUGAUCUCUCAAGACACUGAGUUGCCAUAGGUACCCCAAAGGACAUUCCAGGAGUGGAAAUGCCUUGAUGUCAAGUUAAAAGCUACCUGUAGGCUGGCUUUUUUUGGUCGCCAAGUGUGGUCCUAGGAUUUUUGAAUUGGUUCUGAUUCAUUUGAAUCUUUUAAAUAUGUUUUAUCUGUGUAUUUCAUGUUGGAAAGAAGCCCAUCAAUCGGGUACCUUUUUAUAUGGGCCAAUUAGAUCUCACUCAGAAAUAGUGUGCCUUCAUCCCAAUGUCUCUUCCUCCUAGUGUUUUAUCAUUUGAUAAAUAAAGAGGAGUGCUAAAAAUGUCC
rnacentral:lncRNA from 1 species